rnacentral:rRNA from 1 species
GAUGAACGCUAGCUACAGGCUUAACACAUGCAAGUCGAGGGACCGGCGCACGGGUGAGUAACACGUAUCCAACCUGCCCUUUACUCGGGGAUAGCCUUUCGAAAGAAAGAUUAAUACCCGAUAUAAAGGAUGGGGAUGCGUUCCAUUAGGUUGUUGGUGAGGUAACGGCUCACCAAGCCUUCGAUGGAUAGGGGUUCUGAGAGGAAGGUCCCCCGGAAUGGAACUGAGACGAGGACCAAACUCGUACGGGAGUAAGGAGUGGUGAAUAUUGGUCAAUGGGCUCUGGCCUGAACCGGCCAAGUAGCGUAAAAAAUGAAGGCUUAUGGUUCGUAAACUUCUUUUAUAAAAGAAUAUGUAUUAUAUGAAUAAGGAGCGGCUAACUCCGUGCAAGCAGCCGCGGUAAUUC